rnacentral:rRNA from 2 species
GCGUAAUAGCUCACUGGUCGAGUCGGCCUGCGCGGAAGAUGUAACGGGGCUAAACCAUGCACCGAAGCUGCGGCAGCGACACUAUGUGUUGUUGGGUAGGGGAGCGUUCUGUAAGCCGUUGAAGGUGUGCUGUGAGGCAUGCUGGAGGUAUCAGAAGUGCGAAUGCUGACAUAAGUAACGAUAAAGCGGGUGAAAAGCCCGCUCGCCGGAAGACCAAGGGUUCCUGUCCAACGUUAAUCGGGGCAGGGUGAGUCGACCCCUAAGGC